rnacentral:rRNA from 1 species
GUCCACGGCCACGCCACCCUGAACGUGCUCGAUCUCAUCUGAUCUCAGAAGCUAAGCAGGGUUGGGCCUGGUUAGUACUUGGAUGGGAGGCCAUCUAGGCACCUCUGUCCUAGGAACG